GUGGAUAUAGUUUAAAGGUAAAACAACUGUUUGUGGUAUAGUAUAUUCUUGUUCGAGUCAAGAUUUCCUCC
rnacentral:tRNA from 1 species